GAAAAAAUAAAUAUAUUCAAUAUAAAUUCUUUGUUUUACAUGUGGAAAUCGAAUGGAAACAUACGUAGGCAAAGAAAGAAGAAUAGUGAAUGUAGUUGCUAAGCAUUGGAGUGAUAUAAAAGGCUCAGAUAGAGACUGGCCUGAAAGAAACGAAAUAGAUACUGCAGAAAUCAUGGAAUCAUGGCAGCAUAGUUUUAUUAUUGAAGUAAAAGAUCAAGGC